UACGGAGGGUGCAAACGUUGCUCGGAAUCAUUGGGCGUAAAGCGAGCGUAGGCGGUCUCGCAAGUCGGAUGUGAAAGCCCUCGGCUCAACCGAGGAAGUGCAUUCGAAACUACGAGACUUGAGUAUCGGAGAGGGUGACGGAAUUCCCGGUGUAGAGGUGAAAUUCGUAGAUAUCGGGAGGAACACCAGUGGCGAAGGCGGUCACCUGGACGACAACUGACGCUGAGGCUCGAAAGCGUGGGGAGCAAACAGG
rnacentral:misc_RNA from 1 species